rnacentral:rRNA from 1 species
UGCCAGCCGCCGCGGUAAUACGGAGGGGGCUAGCGUUGUUCGGAAUUACUGGGCGUAAAGCGCGCGUAGGCGGCGUGUAUAGUUAGAGGUGAAAGGCCUGGGCUCAACCUGGGAACUGCCUUUAAUACCGACAUGCUAGAGUCCGAAAGAAAAUAACGGAAUUCCCAAUGUAGAAGUGAAAUUCGUAGAUAUUGGGAAGAACACCAGUGGCGAAGGCGGCCACCUGGCUCGGUACUGACGCUGAGGCGCGAAAGCUAGGGGAGCGAACGGGAUUAGAUA